AUGCUGAGGAAAACCCAAAUCAGAGACACUAAUUUCCAGUCACCACCCCCUGUGAGCAGAGAGACUAGUCUGUCAACACACCAUUAUGCCUCACCUUGCUGCAGCCCCUCAUCAGAUCUGACUAGAACACGUGUGCGUACCAUUGAAGAGCCCUGGAUGAAACCAUUACCUCCUCUCCCCGACCAGAGACCGAGCCAAACCACCCAGGUCCCAUACUAUCAAGUACCACUGCCCUCUGAAACUUAUACAGUACACAGUCAGUUUGCUCCAGAGACUGAGCCAUUGUCAAGAAUAUCGUACCCAGUUACUACAUCUCAGCUUAGGGCUGAUGCAGUGCCCUAUAUUCCCCAUCCCUCAUCAUACUGGCCUCCAACAUUAGAGAGCCCCACCUUCCAAGAUUUCAUUAAAGAAGACAGAGCCCAGUAUGUGGAACUUAGGAUCGCCCUGGACAACCUGCUUCACCCCCAACUACCAGAGCAUUACAAGUACUCCAUCCUGCUUAAACAUGUGAAGGUACCUAAUGCUCACAGACUGGUACUGGCACAUGCAGAGUCAGUUACACCUUACACUAAUGCUCUGCAAGCACUUGACAGAAGGUAUGGCCAGCCCUUCCAGUUUGUGCUAAGGGAAAUAGAGACUUUGGAGAAUCUGCCACCUCUUUGUGUUGGUGUUGAGCGGGCAUUUGAUGACUUUUCCCUUAGAGUCCAAGCUAUAGUCGGUAUGCUCAAAGCCCUGAAGGAGGAGGGGAUUGAAGAACUGCACAGUGGGUCAAAUGUGAAACGCCUUCUGAACCGUCUUCCUCGUUCACAACAAACCCAAUUCAGGAGGCAUCACCUCAAAAGAAACCCAGAUAAGACUAAGUUCUCCCUCCUCGAGUUUGCAGACUGGCUACAGCUAGAAGCCAACUGUAUGGAAUUCGACCCAACUGAUGAGACAAGAACCAUAAAACGAGAUCAAAGAGCAGUGAUUCGAGGACAAAGCAAACAAACGACCAUACUGCAUGGCGUAGAACAAAGACAGGCCACAGAACCAUUACCUAAACCCAAAGCAGUUCAUCCUAAAGUUCCUACCAAGCCCAAAGCCGUCUGUCCAUACUGUCGUGCAGAACAUCACCUCAUUCAGUGUACCGUAUUCACAGCAUUAACAAAGGAGCAAAUGGUUGGAUGGAUCAAAGAAAAUAAAUGA
ensembl:lncRNA